rfam:Thalassobacter arenae DSM 19593 genomic scaffold Contig343, whole genome shotgun sequence.
GGGGACCUUCGGGGCCCUAUAAACACAAGCGGCGGGGCGACCCGUUUGCUGCAACAACGGAAGACAGAAA